AAGUCUGACGGAGCAACGCCGCGUGAGUGACGAAGGCCUUCGGGUCGUAAAGCUCUGUUGUUAGGGAAGAACAAGUACCGUUCGAAUAGGGCGGUACCUUGACGGUACCUAACCAGAAAGCCACGGCUAACUACGUGCCAGCAGCCGCGGUAAUACGUAGGUGGCAAGCGUUGUCCGGAAUUAUUGGGCGUAAAGCGCGCGCAGGCGGUCUCUUAAGUCUGAUGUGAAAGCCCACGGCUCAACCGUGGAGGGCCAUUGGAAACUGGGGGACUUGAGUGCAGAAGAGGAGAGUGGAAUUCCACGUGUAGCGGUGAAAUGCGUAGAUAUGUGGAGGAACACCAGUGGCGAAGGCGGCUCUCUGGUCUGUAACUGACGCUGAGGCGCGAAAGCGUGGGGAGCAAACAGGAUUAGAUACCCUGGUAGUCCACGCCGUAAACGAUGAGUGCUAGGUGUUGGGGGGUUCCACCCUCAGUGCUGAAGUUAACACAUUAAGCACUCCGCCUGGGGAGUACGACCGCAAGGUUGAAACUCAAAGGAAUUGACGGGGGCCCGCACAAGCAGUGGAGCAUGUGGUUUAAUUCGAAGCAACGCGAAGAACCUUACCAGGUCUUGACAUCCUCUGCCACUCCUAGAGAUAGGACGUUCCCCUUCGGGGGACAGAGUGACAGGUGGUGCAUGGUUGUCGUCAGCUCGUGUCGUGAGAUG
rnacentral:rRNA from 1 species